rnacentral:lncRNA from 1 species
CUUGUAAGUGACUAAAAGUGUACCUGUAGACCACAGUUACUCACUGUUGAGACUUGACUCUCAAUAUUUCACUACUGAUACGUUGGCACCAUUGACAGUUUGGGCCAGAUAUUUCUUUGUUGCUGGGGGCUUUUUUGUGCACUGCUGGAUAUUUUACAGACUCCCCAGCCUCUACACACUAGAUGUGAGCAGCUAUUCUCCCUUCCCAGUUUUGACAAUCAAAAUGUCUGCAGGCAUUACCAAAUGUCCCCUGGGGGUUGCGUGGUAAAAAUACUUCUUACUGAGAACCUCUGCUCUAAAAAUAGUAGGGAUAUUUUUCAGUCCUUUUUCUAAAAAAGGAAAUAACCCCACCAAACCCUCUGGCUGCAAACAAUGAGCUUGGUCCUGUCUCUUUUAAUCUGCCAGCUGUCAACAUCUUUUUCAGACCUAGAAGUCUUUAG